rnacentral:rRNA from 1 species
AUUGAACGCUGGCGGCAGGCCUAACACAUGCAAGUCGAGCGAGCGGCGGACGGGUGAGUAAUGUCUGGGGAACUGCCUGAUAGAGGGGGAUAACUACUGGAAACGGUGGCUAAUACCGCAUACUAUCGGAUGUACCCAUAUGGGAUUAGCUAGUAGGUGGGGUAAUGGCUCACCUAGGCGACGAUCUCUAGCUGGUCUGAGAGGAUGACCAGCCACACUGGAACGGAGACACGGCCCAGACUCCUACGGGAGGCAGCAGUGGGGAAUAUUGCACAAUGGGCGCAAGCCUGAUGCAGCCAUGCCGCGUGUAUGAAGAAGGCCUUAGGGUUGUAAAGCACUUUCAGCGAGGAGGCGUUACUCGCAGAAGAAGCACCGGCUAACUCCGUGCCAGCAGCCGCGGUAAUUC